GACGAACGCUGUUGGCGUGCCUAACACAUGCAAGUCGAGCGAAGUGAGUACUACGGUACGAACUUAGCGGCGGACGGGUGAGUAACGCGUGGACAAUCUACCCUGUAGACUGGGAUAACACCUCGAAAGGGGUGCUAAUACCGGAUAAUGUCGAGAAGCGGCAUCGCUUUUCGAAGAAAGGAGAGAAUCCGCUAUAGGAGGAGUCCGCCUCCCAUUAGCUAGUUGGUGAGGGUAACGGCCCACCAAGGCGACGAUGGGUAGCCGGCCUGAGAGGGUGAACGGCCACACUGGAACUGAGACACGGUCCAGACUGCUACGGGAGGCAGCAGUGGGGAAUAUUGUGCAAUGGGGGAAACCCUGACACAGCAACGCCGCGUGAGCGAAGAAGGCCUUCGGGUUGUAAAGCUCAAUAGUAUGGGAAGAUAAUGACGGUACCAUACGAAAGCCCCGGCUAACUACGUGCCAGCCGCCGCCGUAAUAC
rnacentral:rRNA from 1 species